rnacentral:rRNA from 1 species
AUUUAUCGGAGAGUUUGAUCCUGGCUCAGGACGAACGCUGGCGGCGUGCCUAAUACAUGCAAGUCGAGCGGACAGAUGGGAGCUUGCUCCCUGAUGUUAGCGGCGGACGGGUGAGUAACACGUGGGUAACCUGCCUGUAAGACUGGGAUAACUCCGGGAAACCGGGGCUAAUACCGGAUAGUUGUUUGAACCGCAUGGUUCAAACAUAAAAGGUGGCUUCGGCUACCACUUACAGAUGGACCCGCGGCGCAUUAG